GAGAGUUUGAUCCUGGCUCAGGACGAACGCUGGCGGCGUGCCUAAUACAUGCAAGUAGAACGCUGAAGAGAGGAGCUUGCUCUUCUUGGAUGAGUUGCGAACGGGUGAGUAACGCGUAGGUAACCUGCCUUGUAGCGGGGGAUAACUAUUGGAAACGAUAGCUAAUACCGCAUAACAAUGGAUGACACAUGUCAUUUAUUUGAAAGGGGCAAUUGCUCCACUACAAGAUGGACCUGCGUUGUAUUAGCUAGUAGGUGAGGUAAUGGCUCACCUAGGCGACGAUACAUAGCCGACCUGAGAGGGUGAUCGGCCACACUGGGACUGAGACACGGCCCAGACUCCUACGGGAGGCAGCAGUAGGGAAUCUUCGGCAAUGGGGGCAACCCUGACCGAGCAACGCCGCGUGAGUGAAGAAGGUUUUCGGAUCGUAAAGCUCUGUUGUAAGUCAAGAACGGGUGUGAGAGUGGAAAGUUCACACUGUGACGGUAGCUUACCAGAAAGGGACGGCUAACUACGUGCCAGCAGCCGCGGUAAUACGUAGGUCCCCGAGCGUUGUCCGGAUUUAUUGGGCGUAAAAGCGAGCGCAGGNCGGUUUGAUAAGUCUGAAGUUAAAGGCUGUGGCUCAACCAUAGUUCGCUUUGGAAACUGUCAAACUUGAGUGCAGAAGGGGAGAGUGGAAUUCCAUGUGUAGCGGUGAAAUGCGUAGAUAUAUGGAGGAACACCGGUGGCGAAAGCGGCUCUCUGGUCUGUAACUGACGCUGAGGCUCGAAAGCGUGGGGAGCGAACAGGAUUAGAUACCCCUGGUAGUCCCACGCCGUAAACGAUGAAGUGCUAGGUGUUUGGAUCCUUUUCCGGGAAUUUCAGUGCCGCAGCCUAACGCAUUAAGCACUCCGCCUGGGGAGUACGACCGCAAGGUUGAAACUCAAAGGAAUUGACGGGGGCCCGCACAAGCGGUGGAGCAUGUGGUUUAAUUCGAAGCAACGCGAAGAACCUUACCAGGUCUUGACAUCCCGAUGCUAUUUCUAGAGAUAGAAAGUUACUUCGGUACAUCGGUGACAGGUGGUGCAUGGUUGUCGUCAGCUCGUGUCGUGAGAUGUUGGGUUAAGUCCCGCAACGAGCGCAACCCCUAUUGUUAGUUGCCAUCAUUCAGUUGGGCACUCUAGCGAGACUGCCGGUAAUAAACCGGAGGAAGGUGGGGAUGACGUCAAAUCAUCAUGCCCCUUAUGACCUGGGCUACACACGUGCUACAAUGGUUGGUACAACGAGUUGCGAGUCGGUGACGGCGAGCUAAUCUCUUAAAGCCAAUCUCAGUUCGGAUUGUAGGCUGCAACUCGCCUACAUGAAGUCGGAAUCGCUAGUAAUCGCGGAUCAGCACGCCGCGGUGAAUACGUUCCCGGGCCUUGUACACACCGCCCGUCACACCACGAGAGUUUGUAACACCCGAAGUCGGUGAGGUAACCUUUUGGAGCCAGCCGCCUAAGGUGGGACAGAUGAUUGGGGUGAAGUCGUAACAAGGUAGCCGUAG
rnacentral:rRNA from 1 species